rnacentral:piRNA from 1 species
AGCGUGUGCAGUCCUGAAUGUCCGUACAGA